CACAUCAGGGAUUGUUUGGUAUAGCAAAGCACGGCAUGGGGAAGGGAGUGCAUCGAAUAGGGAAGGGAGGCAAAGCAUCGGCAACAUACCUGACCUAAGCCCUGAGCCGUCACUACCACUCACCUCCAAUCGCAUCCCUGAGUCAUUGCCACCAGUCACCUCCAGUUGCCGCCCCACUAGUGCUAGAAAUACGUAUCCAGCAAAGGAAAUGCAUUUCUGAUUUCAAGAAAUUGAUUAAACAGCCCGGAAACAUUUCCUGAUCGUGUCCUCGUGUUUCUGAAGGGGAAACGCAGCCCCCUCCCAUUUGUGUGCAUCGUAGCCAUUCAUUACACAUGGAUUGUUUACUUGAGAGGGAGCGUCAUUGUGGAUUGUUUGAACUUGCCCAAAUACCUAUUGUUUAUAAAUAAUUAGAAGAUUUUUAAGAUUAAAUUGUAAAAUACUAGCAUAAUUUUAUAAAUAAAUUAAAUAAUUAUAAUUUUA